rnacentral:rRNA from 1 species
AGAGUUUGAUCAUGGCUCAGAUUGAACGCUGGCGGCAUGCCUUACACAUGCAAGUCGAACGGUAACGGGCCUUCGGGUGCCGACGAGUGGCGAACGGGUGAGUAAUGCAUCGGAACGUACCUUUCAGUGGGGGAUAACGUAGCGAAAGUUACGCUAAUACCGCAUAUUCUGUGAGCAGGAAAGCAGGGGAUCGCAAGACCUUGCGCUGAUUGAGCGGCCGAUGUCAGAUUAGCUAGUUGGUGAGGUAAAGGCUCACCAAGGCGACGAUCUGUAGCGGGUCUGAGAGGAUGAUCCGCCACACUGGAACUGAGACACGGUCCAGACUCCUACGGGAGGCGGCAGUGGGGAAUUUUGGACAAUGGGGGCAACCCUGAUCCAGCCAUGCCGCGUGAGUGAAGAAGGCCUUCGGGUUGUAAAGCUCUUUCGGCCGGGAAGAAAUCGCAUGGGUGAAUACCCUGUGUGGAUGACGGUACCGGAACAAGAAGCACCGGCUAACUACGUG